rnacentral:rRNA from 2 species
AACUUCUGAAUGUUGACCUCGGAUCAGGUAGGAAUACCCGCUGAACUUAAGCAUAUCAAUAAGCGGAGGAAA